rnacentral:rRNA from 1 species
AUUGAACGCUGGCGGCAGGCCUAACACAUGCAAGUCGAGCGGAGCGGCGGACGGGCGAGUAAUGCCUAGGAAUCUGCCUGGUAGUGGGGGAUAACGUCCGGAAACGGGCGCUAAUACCGCAUACUAUCAGAUGAGCCUAGGUGGGAUUAGCUAGUUGGUGGGGUAAAGGCCUACCAAGGCGACGAUCCGUAACUGGUCUGAGAGGAUGAUCAGUCACACUGGAACUGAGACACGGUCCAGACUCCUACGGGAGGCAGCAGUAGGGAAUAUUGGACAAUGGGCGAAAGCCUGAUGCAGCCAUGCCGCGUGUGUGAAGAAGGUCUUCGGAUUGUAAAGCUCUGUUAGUUGGGAAGCGUUACCAACACAGAAAGCACCGGCUAACUUCGUGCCAGCAGCCGCGGUAAUUC